CUUUCGUGUUAGCAUGUCAUUGGCCUUGUC
rnacentral:piRNA from 1 species